rnacentral:rRNA from 1 species
GAUGAACGCUAGCUACAGGCUUAACACAUGCAAGUCGAGGGGUAACGAGAGGAAAGCUUGCUUUCCUUGUCGACGACCGGCGCACGGGUGAGUAACGCGUAUCCAACCUGCCCCCAACUAAGGAAUAACCUUGCGAAAGUAAGACUAAUACCUUCUAAUUUCCUCAGAUGUCAUCUGACGAGGAAUAAAGAUUUAUCGGUUGUGGAUGGGGAUGCGUCUGAUUAGCUUGGUGGCGGGGUAACGGCCCACCAAGGCAACGAUCAGUAGGGGUUCUGAGGGGAAGGUCCCCCACAUUGGAACUGAGACACGGUCCAAACUCCUACGGGAGGCAGCAGUGAGGAAUAUUGGUCAAUGGGCGGAAGCCUGAACCAGCCAAGUAGCGUGCAGGAUGACGGCCCUAUGGGUUGUAAACUGCUUUUAUACAGGAAUAAAGUUAGCCACGUGUGGUUAUUUGUAGGUACUGUAUGAAUAAGGACCGGCUAAUUCCGUGCCAGCCGCCGCCGUAA